rnacentral:rRNA from 1 species
AUAGUGAAUGGGAGAAGAUGGAAGAACACCAUCUUCUCUCUUAGUUGUGGUGAUGAGGUGAUAGAGGGGACCAAAAGUCUAUCAAACCAUGCCAUAGAAUUCUAUAAGGACCUUUUUGGGCCUGCAUUUGGGAAUCUUUGCAUGUUGGGGGAUAAAAUGUGGGGACCAAAUGAGAAGUUAUCAGAUAUUGAUAACUUUAUCCUUACUAGACCAUUUUCUAAAACUGAGAUAAAGAAUGCUCUCUUCUCUAUGAAACCAAACAAAGCACUAGGUCCAGAUAACAUCCCUAUUGAAUUUUUCAACAUUGUUGGGAUAUUGUUAAGGGUGAGGUGA